GGACAGCAAAGAUGGACUGUUUCUUAUUGAAAUUGACCGUGUACUCAAGCCUGGAGGUUAUUUUGUUUUGACCUCAUCCACAACCCAGCAGCAGGGUAGUUCAACCGGUGCAAAGAAGGGAAUCAUGCCUACUCCUUUGGAAGAGUUCACUAAGAAUCUCUGUUGGUCUCUUUUGGAACAGCAAGACGAAACUUUCAUCUGGCAGAAAACGGUUGAUUCCCAGUGCUACACAUCUGGGUACGACUACCAAAGAAGCCAAUGCCAUCAAGCAGGAUACUAUACCAAUUUGUAAAGGACAGGAUAUGCAACUGUACUACCAGCCACUUGCACAUUGUAUAUCUGGAACAGGCAGUGAUCGAUGGGUUCCAAUUCAUAGCAGAUCUGAUUCUAUGAACUCCACUGAGCUCAAAGUUCAUGGAGUUUAUCCUGACAAUUUCUUUGAGGAUUCAGAAUUCUGGAAAUCAGCUGUCCGAAACUAUUGGUCUUUGCUGUCACCCUUGAUUUUCUCUGACCAU
rnacentral:misc_RNA from 1 species